rnacentral:rRNA from 1 species
GAUGAACGCUAGCGGCAGGCUUAAUACAUGCAAGUCGAGGGGUAGCAAGAUUGUAGCAAUACAAUUGUUGACGACCGGCAAACGGGUGCGGAACACGUACACAACCUUCCUACAAGUGGGGAAUAGCCCAGAGAAAUUUGGAUUAAUACCCCGUAACAUAGCGAUGUGGCAUCACAUUGCUAUUAUAGCUUCGGCGCUUGUUGAUGGGUGUGCGGCGGAUUAGAUAGUUGUCGGGAUAACGGCCCACCAAGUCUACGAUCAGUAGCUGAUGUGAGAGCAUGAUCAGCCACACGGGCACUGAGACACGGGCCCGACUCCUACGGGAGGCAGCAGUAAGGAAUAUUGGACAAUGGACGCAAGUCUGAUCCAGCCAUGCCGCGUGAAGGAUUAAGGUCCUCUGGAUUGUAAACUUCUUUUAUAAGGGACGAAAAAAGGUCUUUCUAGAUCGUCUGACGGUACCUUAUGAAUAAGCACCGGCUAACUCCGUGCCAGCCGCCGCCGUAACAC